rnacentral:rRNA from 1 species
UAUUGCACAAUGGGGGAAACCCUGAUGCAGCGACGCCGCGUGAAGGAAGAAGUAUUUCGGUAUGUAAACUUCUAUCAGCAGGGAAGAAAAAAGACGGUACCUGACUAAGAAGUCCCGGCUAACUACGUGCCAGCAGCCGCGGUAAUACGUAGGGGGCAAGCGUUAUCCGGAUUUACUGGGUGUAAAGGGAGCGUAGGCGGCCUGGCAAGUCUGGUGUGAAAUACCGGGGCCCAACCCCGGGACUGCAUUGGAAACUGCCAGGCUGGGGUGUCGGAGGGGCAGGCGGAAUUCCUAGUGUAGCGGUGAAAUGCGUAGAUAUUAGGAGGAACACCGGUGGCGAAGGCGGCCUGCUGGACGACAACUGACGCUGAGGCUCGAAAGCGUGGGGAGCAAACAGG